ensembl:lncRNA
UUAAAAUAGCAUAAACCAUUGAAUAAAUAUUAUAAGUUAACUGCCAAUCCCAUUUUUUAUUUUAAAAAUAGUUUGAAGACUCUGAAACAGGAUUUCCCAAAUAAUCUUUCUUGUGCUAUAAUAGGAUUGGUAUAAAAAUGAAUAUAAAGACUGGGGCCCUAACUGUUCAAUGCAUUCAGUUGCCUUUUGGAGAUUUAUUUCCUGUAAUUAGGAACAUCUAUAGAAAAUCAAGAGGAAGGUUUGUUUUGUUUUGUUUUUUGCAGUUCUUUGUUGUUAAUUCUCUGCAUUUUAAAAUUCUUUUUUGUUCAUUGAUGCUAUUAAUUUCCCUGAGCUGGUUGUCUAAUCUUUCAUAAAUGAAAUUCUGGAUAUACAUGUAUAUAUACAUAUAUGUCUCUCUGUGUCUCUCUCUAUAUAUAUAUACAUGCUUAUAUAUGUAUGUAUAUAUGUACAUAUAUACAUAUAUGUGUAUAUAUAUGUAUAAAGAGAAUUAUGUAAAAGUAGUGUUUUCCCCAGCAUAAUUAGAGAAAUUGCAUAAAUCCAAAUGACUUUGCUUCAGGAGAAAAUUAUUGCAUGGAAGCUUAAUGGUUCAAGUACUAGGUUCUUGGUACUCAAGAAGAGCUGGUGGUGAACUGGACGAGCAAAGGGUGAAGGUGAAGAUCAUUCAAGGUUCCAGAGCUGGCCAAGACUGUUGGGGUGGUGUAACUGUUCCUGGAGGGCGGGGUUCCUGUGCAUUCCUACCUCGCUGGAUCACCUGCGCUCAACUCUACUCCAGCUUACUUACAGACGGACUGGACCCUUCACCAAGAAAACGAGCCCAGCCAUCUCACCUGGCAGCAGGACGCUGCGAGGCAUGGACCGAAAAUCACUGGCGUAAAAGUUCCUGGCGCAAAGUGUGGCCCCUACUCGCACAAUCGAGCCUCUCCGCUGUCUUUUGCUGAAUGCGGGUCCGGUUUAUCCUUUCUUUCUUGUCUGUGGCCUUGCUCCGUGGUCCUUCCAAGUUGGAGGAAAAGUCAUGCCGCGUCAACAGCAAGCGGUGAGAACUGUUUUUGCGAUGUUCUGAGUGCUCCUUGAGGUUCGGUUACAGGGCCAAAUUGAAUCUUGAUUUCGGCUUAGGUUUGAUUUUCAGUUUUUCACAUGGAACGAGCUUGCAAUGUUCAUAAGGGGCAAGUUUCUUGGUUCUGUGCGGUCGACGCUUCCAGUGCCCUUAAUUCUAUUUCUUUCAUCUUUGAAAUCGAGAGUACUUUUACAAUGCAAAAUACCUUUCCCG